GAUGAACGCUGGCGGCGUGCCUAAUACAUGCAAGUCGAGCGAACGGACGAGAAGCUUGCUUCUCUGAUGUUAGCGGCGGACGGGUGAGUAACACGUGGAUAACCUACCUAUAAGACUGGGAUAACUUCGGGAAACCGGAGCUAAUACCGGAUAAUAUUUUGAACCGCAUGGUUCAAAAGUGAAAGACGGUCUUGCUGUCACUUAUAGAUGGAUCCGCGCUGCAUUAGCUAGUUGGUAAGGUAACGGCUUACCAAGGCAACGAUGCAUGGCCGACCUGAGAGGGCGAUCGGCCACACUGGAACUGAGACACGGUCCAGACUCCUACGGGAGGCAGCAGUAGGGAAUCUUCCGCAAUGGGCGAAAGCCUGACGGAGCAACGCCGCGUGAGUGAUGAAGGUCUUCGGAUCGUAAAACUCUGUUAUUAGGGAAGAACAUAUGUGUAAGUAACUGUGCACAUCUUGACGGUACCUAAUCAGAAAGCCACGGCUAACUACGUG
rnacentral:rRNA from 1 species